AUCUUGGACCUGGAAGCAUAUUGGUGUGCUCUUAUAUUCUUUGGAAUUUUCAUAUUUCUUAAUUCAGAUCAUACUUGCUCCUAAAAUUUAUUCAUAUUGAUCUUCAUACUUUUUAAUUUAAUUAUAACUGCUUAUCAAUUACGGUAAUCAGAAAUUUUCAGUUGAUGGAUUGCAAUGGUUGUAAAAAGUUCUCCUCUUCCAAAAACUUAUUGUUAUUAUUAUUAUUUCUCUAGGUUGUGCUUUGCUUAAGAAUUAAAAACGUGUCUACAUAUUGUCUUCCUCAUGAAUGCCUGCAAUGCAAUUUAUUUUUAUGCAGCUUCCCAUAAGAUUUGUUAAGAAGGGGUACCUUCAGGCCCCAUUGGCAUUUAGAUCUAAUUUAGAUCUGGGAAAAGAAUCUAAAUAUAUAUGCUCUAUGCUGGAAUUUGUCCCUGUGUGACUGUAUUUACCAAUUUUCUCCCUCCUUCCCCUCCUCCCCCUUUUUUGAGUGCCAUAACUUUAGUCCAGGUCAUUCUUUUUAGAUUUUUGAUGUAGCGGGCUUUUUAAUUGGGAUUUCAAAAUUAAAAAGCUACGACUGACAAAGUAGAACUAACCCUUUGUCAUUGUUAGAAUUUUGUAAAGUCUGAUAUGGUAAGUCAAUCAUGCUCAUUCUUGUUAUGUUCUUUUACUGCCAUUUUCCUUUAUUCUGUUUAAAUACAGACAUUGCCCUUAAUAACCAUAAAAUGGAAGUUCACUUUUCCUCUUAAGAAAUUUUGCACUACAGUACGCUGACCUUGGUUCAGUUUAUCAUAGGUGGUGUUGAUUCAACCUAUAAUGCAAAAUCAUCCUGGUGUUCCCCCAAUAGGCGGGGGCUUUCCCCGUUGUUACCAAAAUGGAAUCACUGCACUGUUAUUAUUCCUUGCUGAAUAUGACUA
rnacentral:misc_RNA from 1 species